rnacentral:SRP_RNA from 1 species
UCACGGACUAGGUCGGGCGGUUAGGCCCCGCUCGCUACCCGCGCUAUGGUCUUCAGCGGGGACCGAAUCCGGGGCGCGUCCGGACCAACCACUACGGGCCCCGCAAGCCAACGUCGAAGCCUCGUCCCGCGAGGGCAGCGGUCCGCACGCNNNNNNNNNNUGCAGGGACGUUCGGGCGCGGUUAACCGCGGGCAAUCCGCCAGGCACGGAAGUGAGCAGCGGGCCCGCGGACAGCUGUCGCCCGCGGGGUCGCGGGGUGGAGGAGGCACGCGGGAAUACCCGUACUGGACGGCCCGGGCAAUCCUCGGGUCCA